GAGAGAAAGAGAUUGAGAUUGAAGGUUCACAGGUGGAGGUAGAGGAAGGAAGCAAGGGAGAGGAGAGAAAAGGAGGAACAGAUGAAAGAUAUGAUCUCAGAUUAAUGAAAGAAUGGGUCUAUGAGACAGCUGUAUCACUGACAGGGAGUGACCGAUCACAGCAAAGAUCAAUCAGUGAAACUCCCAGGUGAGCAGAAAAGGGGAGCUUCCACAACAAUACUGCAAAAUGGUCCAUUUUUCCUAAAGUGGGAAAGAGAGUAUUCAGGGAGGGAAAAGCCAACAGCCUUGAAUUCUCUCUCUCUCAAGAUUCUAGAAACCAUUUCAGUACUGGUCACAAAGGGCAAAUGUUGCUAGUUACUGUCACUAAGGCUGGAACUUGCCAGACUCAUCCAGCUCUCCGGUGCCACAAGUCUCUCCAAAAGCCCAGUGUUGUGCAGGAAACAUUUCAUCAGUGUGAACUAUUCAGCUUGCUACUCUAGGACCUUGUGUUAAUGAAAGAACAAGCCAACAGGACAGCUGCCACUGCCAGAGAGGGACCAGUCACGGCAAGGGAUCAAUCAGUGAAAACCCCUGGUAAAUGACAGACCAGGAAGAUGCUUCAGCCAAGUCAGUGCCAGCCUGUGAUCUCUCACUGGACCCCCUGGUGAGUGACAAAAGGGGCCCCAGGCUGGGAUCCUAAAAAGGGCCCUUUAUUCCAAAACGGGGUAGAAGGUAGACAUCAUUCAGUUGUUAAGCUAAUUGUUUUGACUUCUCUUCUGCAAGAUUCUAGAAUACCUUGAAAGAAUUAUGAAAAGUACUGGUCACUUAAAGGGGUAAGUCUAGUUAGCUUAAUGAAGCACAUAUCAUACCAGAAAAAAUUUGUACUGCAUUGCCUCAUGGAUUUAAGAAAAUUACUAUGGUGAGUAGAAAAGUUGUCCCAGGGUAAAAUGGGGCAAAAGACCAUUUUUCAUAAAAUCGGAUAGAAACUAAUAUCUGGACAUUAUAGUCCAACGAUCCUGAUUUCUCUCUUCCCCAACGUUCUAGAUCACAUUCACCAGUUGAGCACCAAGUGUCAGUAAGGACCAGUAUUGUCCCUAAGUAUGGGUCACACCCCAGUCAUCAGGCUUUGGCUUGAUUUACCUUUUAAAAUCUAACCUUGUGCUAGGAAGUUUUCAUCAGUACUUUUGCCAGUAGCUAGCUCCUUAAACCGUGCUCACCAUGCAUAUGGGGCUUUGUAAGUAAAGGUUGUGGUUUGGGAAAUUAUAUUUUACUGUCAUGCAUUGUUUCCUUUGCAUACCCAUUUUAUAUAAUGAUAUUACUGGAGUCCCCUUAAAAUUUUUAAGACGAAGGAGGUCACCAGGGGGGAAAUGUACAAGAAGCUUAGGUCUUUAAAAUUUGCUAACAUUUUGACCAAGUAUAUAUCACUUCUAUGAAGAGAGUGAAAUGGAUGGUGAGAGAGAAUGAAAAAGAAAAAGAGAGAGAGAAAAAACAAGGAACAUUCAGCAGAAGGAUAUAAGGGGGACAGAGGGAAGGAAGGAAGAAAAGGAGGAAAGAAGGAAGGGAGAAAAGGGAAGGAAAAAUAAAAAAGAAAGGAAAAACUGACAAGACUCAUUUACUUUUAAUCAGCAGAGCCUGGUGAAAGCACUUCUCAUGUUAAAGAAAAAAUGGCCAGUGGGAAUAUGCCAACCUGGGAUCUCUCAGUGGAGCCUCUGGUGAGUAGGAAAGCUGACCCUGGAUUAAAAUGGGGGAUAUGUCCCUUGAUUCCUAAAAUGGGAUAGAGAGUAAUGGCUGGAUGGUCUAAGGCAAGGAUCCUGACUGCCCUCUUCCCCAACAUUCUAGAUCUCAUUCUACAGUUGAGCAGCAAGUGUCAAUAAGAAUCAAUGGCUUCACUAAAUAUGGGUCACAUCCCAAUA